CACUCUUAGCGUCCAGUUGUGUGCCCUCUCCCGGUCCGAAGUGCCGCCUUGCUCUUCUCCCUGAGGGAAGCCCGGCUCUCCUGAUGGCCCGCCUGGAGGCCUCCGACUGCUCUUGGGACACUUUCCGAAACCAGCUCCCUUUAGGACCCAGGGAAAGUCAUUUACCCCGCGCCAAGCCCCUGGAUUCCCAGUUCUGAGAUGGGAAGAGCCAUCACUGGAGAGUGGCAGUGAUACCUGUGCCCACUACCCAGGCCAGAAGCCCCUUGUGCCAUCAGGAUUUCCUCCCAGAUUGGACUACUAUGAAACUGCACCGAAAGUCUGUGCUCAGUGUCUUCCGUGAGUACAGAGCACAGGCUCCAAACCAAGAAGGCAUCUUGCUAAAUGAGUGGACCUGAAAUGCCACUACCAGUACUGCUCGUUCAUCCUUCGGGAAAAUCUCUUCUACCUGGAGCACCAAACCGCACACCCCUAGGCCUCAUCCUCUUGGAGAACUACCAGGUGGAGCCAUGCCGUGGGGCCACAGAACCCUAUGCCUUUACCAUCCUGACUCCCAGGGUAGAGGGCACAGAAGGUGGGCGGGUCUACAAACAGCAAAAAAUCAGGAAGAACUUGGAGCCUGGCUCCAAGUGGUGAGCUGGAGGCAGCUGGCUGUGCUGCUACCUGCCCUGGAGGCCCAAUACCAGGAGCUGUGCCAGGCUGCUGGCCAAGAGCCCAGCUCACUCACAGAGGACUAUGGCUUUCUAGCCACCCUGAGUGCCCCUCCGGCUUCCAGGAGUUGCACGAGCGUUUUGGGAAGGAGUUCUGGGCACUGCAGGUGGUGUGCAGAGGAUUCCAGGCCAGUAACAAUGGAGGCAGCAGAUCCCAGGUAAAGGUGAAGCAGGAGCCUAACCAUUGUUUGUUGAUGAGUGACUGAGAGAUGGAUCAAAGGUCAAGAGGCACCUACCUGCCAAGACCAGCCAGCUGCUUCAGUAGACACCCAGGUUCUGGCUCACUCUGUCCCUCCCUAGUCCUUAUUCUAACCCCUGUCAUCAAAUAACAAAGCAGGAGACAGGCCCAGGUACAACAGCAGGUUCUUUUCUGGUUCCUCAAAGCGCCACACAGGGUGGGGGCAGAGACAGAAGAGAAUGUAAACAUUGGGUUCCACCCCCUGGAGCUCAGGCCCCUUACCCAGAUAAGAGGCUGGAGGGUUGGAAGGGAAUAGGUGAAA